rnacentral:rRNA from 1 species
CUGCUGCCUUCCGUAGGAGCUUGGACCGUGUCUCAGUUCCAAUGUGGGGGACCUUCCUCUCAGAACCCCUACGCAUCGUCGGCUUGGUGGGCCGUUGCCCCACCAACUACCUAAUGCGCCGCAUGCCCAUCCGUGACCGGGGUCGCCCCCUUUGGCCGGCAGGGGAUGUCCCCUCCCGGCAUUAUGUUGUAUCAGGCGGGAUUUCUCCCGGUUAUCCAUCUGUCACGGCCAGGUUGCAUACGUGUUACUCACCCGUGCGCCGGUCG